UACGUAGGCAGCAAGCGUUGUUCGGAGUUACUGGGCGUAAAGGGGUGUGUAGGCGGUCUCGUAAGUCUGGUGUGAAAUCUCCCGGCUCAACUGGGAGGGUGCGCCGGAAACUGCGAGGCUAGAGUGUGGGAUGGGAGAGUGGAAUUCCUGGUGUAGCGGUGAAAUGCGUAGAUAUCAGGAGGAACACCUGCGGUGUAGACGGCUCUCUGGACCACUACUGACGCUGAAACACGAAAGCGUGGGUAGCAAACAGG
rnacentral:rRNA from 1 species